AACGAACGCUGGCGGCGUGCCUAACACAUGCAAGUCGAGCGCGAAUGGAGCAAUCCUAGUAGAGCGGCGCACGGGUGCGUAACACGUGGAUAAUCUGCCUGGGAGAUCGGAAUAACCUGCCGAAAGGCAAGCUAAUACCGGAUAAGCCCACAGGGACUUCGGUCCUCGAGGGAAAAGGUGGCCUCUGUAUACAAGCUAUCACUUCCAGAUGAGUCCGCGGCCCAUCAGCUAGUUGGCGGGGUAAUGGCCCACCAAGGCAACGACGGGUAG
rnacentral:rRNA from 1 species